GGUGUGUUUAGUUGUUGGAGGUGUGUUUAGUUGUUGGAGGUGUGUUUAGUUGUUGGAGGUGUGUUUAGUUGUUGGAGGUGUGUUUAGUUGUUGGAGGUGUGUUUAGUUGUUGGAGGUGUGUUUAGUUGUUGGAGGUGUGUUUAGUUGUUGGAGGUGUGUUUAGUUGAUGGAGGUGUGUUUAGUUGUUGGAGGUGUGUUUAGUUGUUGGAGGUGUGUUUAGUUGUUGGAGGUGUGUUUAGUUGAUGGAGGUGUGUUUAGUUGUUGGAGGUGUGUUUAGUUGUUGGAGGUGUGUUUAGUUGUUGGAGGUGUGUUUAGUUGAUGGAGGUGUGUUUAGUUGUUGGAGGUGUGUUUAGUUGUUGGAGGUGUGUUUAGUUGUUGGAGGUGUGUUUAGUUGUUGGAGGUGUGUUUAGUUGAUGGAAGUGUGUUUAGUUGAUGGAGGUGUGUUUAGUUGUUGGAGGUGUGUUUAGUUGUUGGAGGUGUGUUUAGUUGUUGGAAGUGUGUUUAGUUGAUGGAGGUGUGUUUAGUUGUUGGAGGUGUGUUUAGUUGUUGGAGGUGUGUUUAGUUGAUGGAGGUGUGUUUAGUUGUUGGAAGUGUGUUUAGUUGUUGGAGGUGUGUUUAGUUGUUGGAGGUGUGUUUAGUUGUUGGAGGUGUGUUUAGUUGUUGGAGGUGUGUUUAGUUGAUGGAGGUGUGUUUAGUUGUUGGAGGUGUGUUUAGUUGUUGGAGGUGUGUUUAGUUGUUGGAGGUGUGUUUAGUUGUUGGAGGUGUGUUUAGUUGUUGGAGGUGUGUUUAGUUGUUGGAGGUGUGUUUAGUUGUUGGAGGUGUGUUUAGUUGUUGGAAGUGUGCGCUUCAGUUUUUUAGUAGUCGCUGAACGUCUGAGGGUGAUGCACUUUCAAAUGAGUAAUUAGGUUUGUGGUAUUGAAAGAUUUAAUU